GCUCAGAUCAAAAAGGGAAGAAAAAGAAAAAUCAAAAUUAAAGUCAAAAUGAAAAUGAAAAUGAAAAAAAAUCAAAAAAAAAAGAAGAAAGAAAAAAAUCAAAAUCAAGAUCAAAAUGAAAAUGAGAAAAAUAAAGAAGAAUGAAAAAGAGAAAUCUGGAUGAAAAAAUCAGAAUAAAAAAGAAAAAAGGAGAGGCCAAAGCG
rnacentral:lncRNA from 1 species